rnacentral:rRNA from 1 species
AUUGAACGCUGGCGGCGUGCCUAAUACAUGCAAGUCGAGCGAAAACAUGAGGAGCUUGCCUCUCUUACGUUCGCGGCGGACGGGUGAGUAAAACGUGGAUAACCUACCUAUAAGGCUGGGAUAAAUUAGGGAAAACGGAGCUAAUAACCGCAAAUCUAUUGAACAGCAUGGUUCAAUAGUGACCGACGGCUUUGCUGUCACUUAUCGAUGGAUCCGCGCCGUAUUAGCUAGUUGGUAGGGUAACGGCUUACCCAGGCAACGAUGCGUAGCCGACCUGAGAGGAUGAUCGGCCACACUGGAACUGAGACACGGUCCAGACUCCUACGGGAGGCAGCAGUAGGGAAUCUUGCGCAAUGGGCGAAAGCCUGACGGAGCAACGCCGCGUGAGUGAUGAAGGUCUUCGGAUCGUAAAGCUCUGUUAUUAGGGAAGAACAAAGGUGUAAGUAACUAUUCACUUCUUGACGUUACCUAAUCAGAAAGCCACGGCUAACUACGUG